rnacentral:misc_RNA from 1 species
GAUGAAGAACGUAUCGAAAUGCGAUAAGUAAUGUGAAUUGCAGAAUUCAGUGAAUCAUCGAAUCUUUGAACGCACCUUGCGCCCUUUGGCUAUUCUGAAGGGCAUGCCUGUUUGAGUAUCAUGAACACCUCAACUCUCAUGGUUCGCCAUGAUGAGCUUGGACUUUGGGGGUCUUGCUGGCCUACGGUCGGCUCCUCUCAAAUGAAUCAGCUUGCCAGUGUUUGGUAGAGUCGCAGGUGUGAUAACUAUCUACGCUUGUGGUUUUCUGCCAGAUAACCUUCAGUGAUGGAGGUUCGCUGGAGCUUAUAAAUGUCUCUCCCCAGUGAGGACAGCUUUUUGAACGUUUGAUCUCAAAUCAGGUAGGACUACCCGCUGAACUUAAGCAUAUCAAUAAGCGGAGGA